AAGUAUAGUUUAGUUGUUGUCUCGAAGCUUCCAUGGCUUGUUGAGCUUCUCUUCUUCAAUGCCCGAGUAAUGAAACUCCAAUGCGAAGAUGUUGAUCUGAUGCUUCAAGGUGAGUGUAUCGAUUCAACUCGCCAAUAUAAUUUGUAUAGUUGCAAACCAAAACUAGCUUAGAGCCAAAAAGAGUUUUUACUAUUAACAUUCUACGCCUUUUUGGGUAGGUUCCACAUCAAGACAUCCGAAUAAGCUCUAACCUGAUGUUAUGGUAAUCGAUCCCAAACAUGAAAAUUUCUUCAAAGUAUAGAUUUAUACAGUCAAAUCUAUCUACUCAAGGUAAGGUUCCAGCCAGAUCUGUACUAGAUUCACAACUUUGAGAUACUUUCUAUGUUGGUCUAUUUAACUAAACUUUUCUCCGUCGUUUAAGUAGGUUGACCCUCACAAAGAAGUUAAUACCACUGUCUAACUUCAGGAGAUGGAAAUUCAGUCAAAUAGGUUGGUAUAUAACUUACAUAUUCUAGUACAUUUGUAUUGUGAACCUUGUUUUAUGUAUUGUAACAACCUGUCAAAGGCCUCUUAUCUUUAGAUGAUUUGUAUGACUUGCAUUCCUAUGCAUUGUGUCGUUUACCUUCUGAAAACAUAGCCUUGAAACUCUUUGCUUAUCUAUGUUUAAUAGAUUUCUUGCUCUAAUGGGUAGAUUUGCAAAAUGAGUAUAGUUUAUCGAACAUGCAAAAUGGAAAACAAUGUUAACUAAAAUAUCUGCCACCUGGUUCCCAAUAGUAAUCCCUUCCGUUUCCUUCCAUUCUUGAAUCCUUAUCAUUUCCGUACUAAUAUUCCAUGGAAUCUUUCAAUCAUUUUCAAUGAUCCUUUUCAUUGCCAAAGAAUCAGUUUCCACCACUAAAGACAAAUAGUUUUGAGGCAAAAUUCUAUGCCCUGUUCAAUUGCUUUAGCUUCAACAUAGAGGCUUGUUGCAUUGGAGAUGCUAUUAGUACUAGCAUGAAUACAUUUCAAAUGUGUCAUUCCUGGCGCAAAAGGCCCAUGAUGCAAAACCAGAGUUUCCUUUUGAGGAGCCAUCUGUGUUGCAUUUAACAAAACCUUUAGGUGGAAAUUGCCAAUUAAUAGGCUGACAGAAUAUAUGAGAUUAAAGAGCUUUAAAAUAUUGCACAAUAAGAAUUUAGGCAUUGAGAAUUUUGGAUAGCCAAGGAUACAUCACCACAGAAUAUUGGCGCCGAUUAAGAUCAAUAUCAUAGAAGUCCCUAGCGGUAGACAUUACCUCCAUGUACCAAAUUGUUUCUCCAUCUUCAAAUGUGCCACACUAGAGAAGAAAUAAAAAUUCAUCCAAAUAAGUGUGAAGAUAUGUGUACUCACAGUCAUAUUGAGUCCAACCAAUGGUCAUUUUUUCAAGAUCAUACAGAAAAAGUUUGUUUGAUAACAUUAUAUCUGCAUAAAAAAUUUCACAAGUCAUGCCACCAACAUGUCUAGCAAUUAUGACAAGCUGCAUAUUUGAUACAUAAUUCCUGUUCAGCUGAGCCGUACUACUUUCACAAAUGAAUGGAGGAAUACUUACAAUUAUAAUUACAAAAGAAGAAAAUGUUAAUAAUAAAAUUUAUAAUUGAAUUUAAUUUUUUUCCAGGUUUGGAAAGAAUAUAUCUCUGACUACUAAACUGCCUUGCAACAUUACUCUUCAAAGGCUACAACAUUUAUUUCAAGCAAAUCCGGUCCAAAUGAAAAAAAUUAUUGACACAAGGUGUCUGACACAAGGUUGAGUUUCAUUAAUGUAACAUCCCGUAGUUAUAACACUCGAAUAACGCAUUCAAAACGAACCUUAGGACCCCAUUUUGAUGGUAGACCAUGUUUAGAUGUUGCGGGUUGUCUUGGGGUGCUUUUAGGCCUUAAAAGCGGGUGUGCGUCGUGAUUUUGACCCUCCACAAAGGCCUUGCAUCAUGGAACAAACGCAAACAGCCACUAGAUGGAGUUGGCUUUUGGCAUGCGCCGCCAACCCUGAGGCUGACUUUGGUUGUGUGCCGCCAAUCCUAAGGUGGGCUUUGGCUGUGUGCCGCAAGGCAAAAGCCAAGUAUCAUAAGUUGCUUAGUUUUCUUCUAUUUUAAGGGCGUUGAAGUCUUUUCACACCCUAUAACCAUUCCUAAUCUUAUAUGGACGAAAUUAAUCUCUUAACAUACGUUAUUUUCACUUCUCAAAUAUCUAAUUAUCACUCCAUAAGCGAGAGAGGAAAGAAUACCUAGGGUUGAGGAUUUUGAGUUCAAGAGGGUAAAUUACUCUACGUUUUUGUCCAUUUCAAGGUAUGUGGGACUAUCCUAAAACUCAUGGGCAUAAUCUUAUCGUUUAAACAAAUUUUAAAGGUGCAUGAUUACAUAUAUGAAACGGGUUUUUGAAUUGUUGAAGAGUAUGUAUUGUAAAUCCUGUUUUAUGAUGAAAUCUUGUAUAAACUAUGAGGUUCUUUUUUUGGCUAAACUUGAAUUGUUUUCAUUUGUACAUGGGUUAUGAGUUUUGAAAAUUGACAUGAGAGCAUACCUUACGAAAUUCCCUCUCUUAUUGUGAAUUCCAUUGCAUUAACAUGUUGUGGGUUGUUCAAUUGCAUGAUUAAAUAGCUUGAGUUAAAUGUUACAUUACCAAUUGUUGAUUUGCAGUGCUUUAUGAUUCUAUGAGAGGGUAUUUAUGAAUUUGUAAAUGCUUUACAUCCUAAUGGGAAAUUUCAUGUGUUUGAUGAUAGAAAUGACUACCCUAUGUUGAGGUACUAAAAAGGGAGUAUUUUGCAUGAGUUUUACAUGUUUUGAAAUAAGAACUCUCUUACAUUAAUUAAAUGUUUUGGUGGUCCAGUAACAUUCUUUUCGAUUGAAAAGACUAAGAUAUGAUAUACUAUGAUAUGGCAUAUACGACUUGCAAGUCUUGGUAUGACGAUACUAAAACAGAUAAAUGCUAUGGAAGAUUCAAAAUAGAACAAACUCCAGACUUCAGAUCAGAAUUUCAGUAAGAUGCAUGUUUUAAAAGGCUAAAAAUAGAUUGUAAGAGAAUUUAGAUGGUUAUACGAAGAAGGCACGGGUUCAGCUGACUCAUUUCCCAAAAUCGUAUUUUGCUGACGCGAGUCAUUAUAUCCUGAAAUAUGGAUAUUAUACGCUGGACAUGUGUCUUUCGGCGUAUCAGAAUAAGAGACUCCAGCCUGUGCGACAAACUUAGGUUGGGGGUUUGGCCUCCGAUUUAAUGGUGGACCCAUAUAGCCCAUGGGUAAUUAGAGUUGUAGGGUGUACCAUCUAGCUCAGAACUAAAGUAAAGACUUAAGUUGAUGUUUUACAAGCACGAGUGGAUGUUUUUCAUUGAUUAUGCCCAUAUGUUUCUAUAUAUAUUAUGAUAAAUUAUUUUCAGAAGGGCUCACUUAUUUUACAUGAAGUAUGUGUUAUUUUUGGAUUGUUAUACAUACUAGUACUUUCGAGUAUUGACCCCCCUAUCCACAGGUUCAGAGGCUCAGUCCCGGGGUCCAGCUCAGUACUAGAUUAUUCCCAUACUUUCAGAACUUGGUGAGCCUCCUUUACACCAAAAGACAUUCUAUUUAGAUGUAAUCUCAGUCAGUUUUAUGGUCCUGCCGGGGGCUUUGUCUCGGUUUAGUCAAAGUAGUGUUUAUUCUUUCAAUUUAGUAGAGGCUUUGUAGACUAGUGUAACAUGGAAUUUACAUUGUGAUAACAACUUUAUUGAUUGUAUGUUAGAGGGUACUUGUUAU
rnacentral:lncRNA from 1 species